rnacentral:rRNA from 1 species
UACGUAGGGGGCAAGCGUUGUCCGGAUUUAUUGGGCGGAAAGAGCUCGUAGGUGGUUUGGUUAGUCGGAUGUGAAAUCUCCAGGCUCAACCUGGAGGGGUCAUUCGAUACUGCCAUGACUAGAGGUCGGUAGGGGAGUGUGGAAUUCCUGGUGGAGCGGUGAAAUGCGCAGAUAUCAGGAGGAACACCCGUAGCGAAGGCGGCACUCUGGGCCGAUACUGACACUGAGGAGCGAAAGCGUGGGGAGCGAACAGG